rnacentral:tRNA from 1 species
UUCUUGGUGGCUGAGACUUGAAGCGCUAAACUUUUAAUUUAGAGACAGUCGAAAACAAAAUUUGACUCCGGGAAA